rnacentral:rRNA from 1 species
CACGUAGGGGGCGAGCGUUGUCCGGAUUUAUUGGGCGUAAAGAGCUCGUAGGCGGUUUCGUAAGUCGGAUGUGAAAACUCCAGGCUCAACUUGGAGACGGCAUUCGAUACUGCGAUGACUUGAGUCCGGUAGGGGAGUGUGGAAUUCCUGGUGUAGCGGUGAAAUGCGCAGAUAUCAGGAGGAACACCGGUGGCGAAGGCGGCCUGCUGGGACGUGGCUGACGCUGAGGCGCGAAAGCGUGGGGAGCAAACAGG